rnacentral:rRNA from 1 species
CAGCCGCCGCGGUAAUACAGAGGGUGCAAGCGUUAAUCGGAAUUACUGGGCGUAAAGCGCGCGUAGGUGGUUUGUUAAGUUGGAUGUGAAAUCCCCGGGCUCAACCUGGGAACUGCAUCCAAAACUGGCAGGCUAGAGUAGGGCAGAGGGUGGUGGAAUUUCCUGUGUAGCGGUGAAAUGCGUAGAUAUAGGAAGGAACACCAGUGGCGAAGGCGACCACCUGGGCUCAUACUGACACUGAGGUGCGAAAGCGUGGGGAGCAAACAGGAUUAGAUACCCCGGUAGUCCCUGUCUCUUAUAU